AACGAACGCUGGCGGCAUGCCUAACACAUGCAAGUCGAACGAGGCCUUCGGGUCUAGUGGCGCACGGGUGCGUAACGCGUGGGAACCUGCCCUUAGGUUCGGAAUAACUCCCCGAAAGGGGUGCUAAUACCGGAUAAUGUCUUCGGACCAAAGAUUUAUCGCCUUUGGAUGGGCCCGCGUUGGAUUAGCUAGUUGGUAGGGUAAAAGCCUACCAAGGCGACGAUCCAUAGCUGGUCUGAGAGGAUGAUCAGCCACACUGGGACUGAGACACGGCCCAGACUCCUACGGGAGGCAGCAGUAGGGAAUAUUGGACAAUGGGCGAAAGCCUGAUCCAGCAAUGCCGCGUGAGUGAUGAAGGCCUUAGGGUUGUAAAGCUCUUUUACCCGGGAUGAUAAUGACAGUACCGGGAGAAUAAGCUCCGGCUAACUCCGUG
rnacentral:rRNA from 1 species